rnacentral:rRNA from 1 species
CCUACGGGAGGCAGCAGUGGGGAAUUUUCCGCAAUGGGCGAAAGCCUGACGGAGCAACGCCGCGUGAGGGAUGAAGGCCUCUGGGCUGUAAACCUCUUUUAUCAAGGAAGAAGAUCUGACGGUACUUGAUGAAUAAGCCACGGCUAAUUCCGUGCCAGCAGCCGCGGUAAUACGGGAGUGGCAAGCGUUAUCCGGAAUUAUUGGGCGUAAAGCGUCCGCAGGCGGUCUUGUAAGUCUGUCGUUAAAGCGUGGAGCUCAACUCCAUUUCGGCGGUGGAAACUACAAGACUAGAGUGUGGUAGGGGCAGAGGGAAUUCCCGGUGUAGCGGUGAAAUGCGUAGAUAUCGGGAAGAACACCAGUGGCGAAGGCGCUCUGCUGGGCCAUAACUGACGCUCAUGGACGAAAGCUAGGGGAGCGAAAGGGAUUAGAUACCCCUGUAGUCCUAGCCGUAAACGAUGAACACUAGGUGUCGGGGGAAUCGACCCCCUCGGUGUCGUAGCUAACGCGUUAAGUGUUCCGCCUGGGGUGUACGCGACGCAGUGUGAACGUACAAAGUAGAAGUUAGACGGCGUGUAGACGUUGCGACGGACGACGACGAGGGAGGAGG